rnacentral:rRNA from 1 species
AGUCGAGCGGUAGAGAAAGCUUGCUUCUCUUGAGAGCGGCGGACGGGUGAGUAAUGCCUAGGAAUCUGCCUGGUAGUGGGGGAUAACGUUCGGAAACGGACGCUAAUACCGCAUACGUCCUACGGGAGAAAGCAGGGGACCUUCGGGCCUUGCGCUAUCAGAUGAGCCUAGGUCGGAUUAGCUAGUUGGUGAGGUAAUGGCUCACCAAGGCGACGAUCCGUAACUGGUCUGAGAGGAUGAUCAGUCACACUGGAACUGAGACACGGUCCAGACUCCUACGGGAGGCAGCAGUGGGGAAUAUUGGACAAUGGGCGAAAGCCUGAUCCAGCCAUGCCGCGUGUGUGAAGAAGGUCUUCGGAUUGUAAAGCACUUUAAGUUGGGAGGAAGGGCAGUAAAUUAAUACUUUGCUGUUUUGACGUUACUGACAGAAUAAGCACCGGCUAACUCUGUGCCAGCAGCCGCGGUAAUACAGAGGGUGCAAGCGUUAAUCGGAAUUACUGGGCGUAAAGCGCGCGUAGGUGGUUUGUUAAGUUGGAUGUGAAAUCCCCGGGCUCAACCUGGGAACUGCAUUCAAAACUGACUGACUAGAGUAUGGUAGAGGGUGGUGGAAUUUCCUGUGUAGCGGUGAAAUGCGUAGAUAUAGGAAGGAACACCAGUGGCGAAGGCGACCACCUGGACUAAUACUGACACUGAGGUGCGAAAGCGUGGGGAGCAAACAGGAUUAGAUACCCUGGUAGUCCACGCCGUANACGAUGUCAACUAGCCGUUGGAAGCCUUGAGCUUUUAGUGGCGCAGCUAACGCAUUAAGUUGACCGCCUGGGGAGUACG